rnacentral:rRNA from 1 species
UCAGACGAUGCGUCAUGCAUAUCAAUAAGCGGAGGAAAAGAAACUAACAAGGAUUCCCCUAGUAACGGCGAGUGAAGCGGGAAGAGCUCAAAUUUGAAAUCUUAAAGGGUUUCCCUUUACGAAUUGUAGUUUAAAGAAGUGUUUUCUGUUGAGGUUUUGGUAAAAGUUCUUUGGAAUAGGACAUCAUAGAGGGUGAGAAUCCCGUAUUUGACCUUUACUUUCAACUUUGUGAUACACUUUCAAAGAGUCGGAUUGUUUGGGAAUGCAGUCCAAAAUGGGUGGUAAAUUUCAUCUAAAGCUAAAUAUUGGCGAGAGACCGAUAGCGAACAAGUACCGUGAGGGAAAGAUGAAAAGAACUUUGAAAAGAGAGUUAAACAGUACGUGAAAUUGUCAAAAGGGAAGCGUUUGACACCAGUGUUGUUUUUCUGAAAAUCAAUUAAAGAGCUGUUUAUGCUAAGCUGUUUAGACUUUAUCAGCUAAUCUGUUUAGUUUUGAGCUUUUCUUUAAUGCACUUUUCAGUUAACAAGUCAACAUCAAUUUCUUUUGCUGUAAAAAAGCUUGAGGAAGGUGGCUUGAGAUUCGUCUUAAGUGUUUAUAGCCUCUUGCCUAUGCAGUCGGAGAGAUUGAGGUCUGCAGCGUAGAUCCUUCGGGGCUAAAUGCAUUUGUGCUAAGUUAUAGCAUUUUAUAGACAACUUGUUGACUAUGAUUUGUCUUGUAGCUUACUCGCUUAUGUUAUUUUACCUACGCUUAGGAUGUUGACACACGCGCGUGCUCG